GACGAACGCUGGCGGCGCGCCUAACACAUGCAAGUCGAACGAGCGAGAGGAGGUUUACUUUCUCCAGCGAGUGGCGAACGGGUGAGUAACGCGUGAGGAACCUGCCUCAAAGAGGGGGACAACAGUUGGAAACGACUGCUAAUACCGCAUAAGCCCACGACCCGGCAUCGGGUAGAGGGAAAAGGAGCAAUUCGCUUUGAGAUGGCCUCGCGUCCGAUUAGCUAGUUGGUGAGGUAAUGGCCCACCAAGGCGACGAUCGGUAGCCGGACUGAGAGGUUGAACGGCCACAUUGGGACUGAGACACGGCCCAGACUCCUACGGGAGGCAGCAGUGGGGAAUAUUGCACAAUGGGGGAAACCCUGAUGCAGCGACGCCGCGUGGAGGAAGAAGGUCUUCGGAUUGUAAACUCCUGUUGUUGAGGAAGAUAAUGACGGUACUCAACAAGGAAGUGACGGCUAACUACGUG
rnacentral:rRNA from 1 species